rnacentral:rRNA from 1 species
GACGAACGCUGGCGGCGUGCUUAACACAUGCAAGUCGAACGGAAAGGCCUGCUUUCCCUUGUGGAUUGCGGGUACUCGAGUGGCGAACGGGUGAGUAACACGUGAGUGAUCUGCCCCCAACUUGGGUAUAAGCCUGGGAAACUGGGUCUAAUUCCCGAUAGGACUGCAGGGUGGUGCCUGUGGUGGAAAACGAUUUUCUAGUGGUUGGGGAUGAGCUCGCGGCCUAUCAGCUUGUUGGUGGGGUAAUGGCCUACCAAGGCGGCGACGGGUAGCCGGCCUGAGAGGGUGGACGGCCACAUUGGGACUGAGAUACGGCCCAGACUCCUACGGGAGGCAGCAGUGGGGAAUAUUGGACAAUGGGCGGAAGCCUGAUGCAGCGACGGCGCGUGGGGGAUGACGGCCUUCGGGUUGUAAACUCCUUUCGACCGCGAGGAAGCCACCUGGUUGGAAGGGUGGUGACGGUAGUGGUAGAAGAAGCACCGGCUAACUACGUG